UAUGCUUUCCACAGUCUGACAUUCCCCUCCUCCACUAACAUGGGAGGAGGGAAGCAGACAAAGGGGAAGCCAGCCAGCAACUGCAGAAAUGUGAGAGCAGCUGCUAUGCAGCAUGUUCCUCUCUCACCUGAGCUUGUGAGGGAGCAAGAAAUAUCUUGCUGCAGACCAUUUUGCUCCAUUCUGAGUGGACAGACAGCUCUUGUGCGCUAAGAUGAUCUCCAGUUUCUCUUUCUACCGCAAUAACAGAGCAAGUGACCGAGCCACAGUUCUCCACAGAGCUCCAGCCGGGGCAGUGCAGCUGUGCACAGCCACCUAUAUGGGACACCGAGCUCGGCCUAGCCCUAAAUUCUGGAUGUGACAAUGAAUUGGGAGAUGGGAAGAGAGACAUAGACAGUAGCAAGAGGGGAGUGGAAGCAUGAGAGCUACUGUGAUAGCUUUACAUGGGCACUCAGUUUAGACCUGCGCCCCUCAGGAGAGUUCAGUCAGGUCGGUUGCUGGGAGCUGUUCGGUUGCACAAUGAGAUCUGCCUGGUGUGGAACUGCUACCCGCUGUAUUCAUGGAGCUGCACACAGUGCCCAUCCUUGUAACUUCACACCAACCACCACAUCAAAAACACUUCGGAGAAAUUCACCAAAAAACCUUCAAACACCA
rnacentral:lncRNA from 1 species